AUCACUUCUCAACCUUUUGGCUAAGAUCAAGUAUAGUAUCUGUUCUUAUUGGUUUAAUACAAUCAUUCCCCUUUCCCGCCCCCAGCCCAACACCGCUAGUCUCCUUUCUGUCUUUUGGGAUUUGCCUUUUCAGGACAUUUCAUAUAGAAAGAAUCAUACAUAUAUGUAUUCUUUUGUGUCUGACUUUUC
rfam:Pteropus alecto contig162901, whole genome shotgun sequence.